rnacentral:snoRNA from 1 species
CCAGAUUCCUUUACCCUCAGAUCUAAAUAUUGGUCUGAGUGGCUAAAAAAGUAAAACUGAAGUGGACUUGGAAUCUUUAGUGGCAUACAAAUUCAUUUCAAAUAUAU